rnacentral:tRNA from 1 species
UGGGGUGUGGCUCAGCGGUAGAGCUCUUGCCUAGCAUGUUCAAUGCCCUGAGUUUGAUUCUCAGCACCACAU